AUACGGAGGGUGCAAGCGUUAAUCGGAAUUACUGGGCGUAAAGGGCGCGUAGGCGGCUCUGUAAGUCGGGUGUGAAAGCCCCGGGCUCAACCCGGGAAUUCCAUUCGAUACUGCCUAACUAGAGUGUGGUAGAGGGAAGCGGAAUUCCGGGUGUAGCGGUGAAAUGCGUAGAUAUCCGGAGGAACACCAGUGGCGAAGGCGGCUUCCUGGAUCAACACUGACACUGAGGCGCGAAAGCGUGGGGAGCAAACAGGAUUAGAAACCCCAGUAGUCC
rnacentral:rRNA from 1 species